AUGAACGCUGGCGGCGUGCCUAAUACAUGCCAGUCGAGCGAACAGACGAGGAGCUUGCUCCUCUGACGUUAGCGGCGGACGGGUGAGUAACACGUGGAUAACCUACCUAUAAGACUGGGAUAACUUCGGGAAACCGGAGCUAAUACCGGAUAAUAUAUUGAACCGCAUGGUUCAAUAGUGAAAGACGGUUUUGCUGUCACUUAUAGAUGGAUCCGCGCCGCAUUAGCUAGUUGGUAAGGUAACGGCUUACCAAGGCAACGAUGCGUAGCCGGCCUGAGAGGGUGAUCGGCCACACUGGAACUGAGACACGGUCCAGACUCCUACGGGAGGCAGCAGUAGGGAAUCUUCCGCAAUGGGCGAAAGCUUGACGGAGCAACGCCGCGUGAGUGAUGAAGGUCUUCGGAUCGUAAAACUCUGUUAUUAGGGAAGAACAAAUGUGUAAGUAACUAUGCACGUCUUGACGGUACCUAAUCAGAAAGCCACGGCUAACUACGUG
rnacentral:rRNA from 1 species